GACGCUACGCGAAAGAACCUUACCUGGGCAAGAACUGCUGGUGGUAGGAGCCCGAAAGGGUAUACGACCCGGAGCAAUCCGGGAGCCAGCAGAGGUGCUGCAUGGCUGUCGUCAGCUCGUGUCGUGAGAUGUUGGGUUAAGUCCCGCAACGAGCGCAACCCUUGCCCUUAGUUGCCAGCGGGUAAUGCCGGGCACUCUAAGGGGACUGCCUGGGAUAACCAGGAGGAAGGCGGGGAUGACGUCAAGUCAGCAUGGCCUUUAUGUCCAGGGCUACACACGUGCUACAAUGGGCGGUACAAAGGGAGGCAAAGCCGCGAGGUAGAGCUAAUCCCCAAAGCCGUCCUCAGUUCGGAUUGCAGGCUGCAACUCGCCUGCAUGAAGUCGGAAUCGCUAGUAAUCGCGGAUCAG
rnacentral:rRNA from 1 species